rnacentral:rRNA from 56 species
UAACAACUCUCAGCAACGGAUAUCUCGGCUCUUGCAUCGAUGAAGAACGCAGCGAAAUGCGAUAAAUGGUGUGAAUUGCAGAAUCCCGUGAACCAUCGAGUCUUUGAACGCAAGUUGCGCCCGAGGCCAUCAGGCCAAGGGCACGCCUGCCUGGGCAUUGCGA